UUCGGGGUACUCGAGUGGCGAACGGGUGAGUAACACGUGGGUGAUCUGCCCUGCACUUUGGGAUAAGCCUGGGAAACAGGGUCUAAUACCGAAUAGGACCACGCGCUUCAUGGUGUGUGGUGGAAAGCUUUUGCGGUGUGGGAUGGGCCCGCGGCCUAUCAGCUUGUUGGUGGGGUAAUGGCCUACCAAGGCGACGACGGGUAGCCGGCCUGAGAGGGUGACCGGCCACACUGGGACUGAGAUACGGCCCAGACUCCUACGGGAGGCAGCAGUGGGGAAUAUUGCACAAUGGGCGCAAGCCUGAUGCAGCGACGCCGCGUGAGGGAUGACGGCCUUCGGGUUGUAAACCUCUUUCAAUAGGGACGAAGCGCAAGUGACGGUACCUNNAGAAGAAGCACCGGCCAACUACGUGCCAGCAGCCGCGGUAAUACGUAGGGUGCGAGCGUUGUCCGGAAUUACUGGGCGUAAAGAGCUCGUAGGUGGUUUGUCGCGUUGUUCGUGAAAACUCACAGCUUAACUGUGGGCGUGCGGGCGAUACGGGCAGACUAGAGUACUGCAGGGGAGACUGGAAUUCCUGGUGUAGCGGUGGAAUGCGCAGAUAUCAGGAGGAACACCGGUGGCGAAGGCGGGUCUCUGGGCAGUAACUGACGCUGAGGAGCGAAAGCGUGGGGAGCGAACAGGAUUAGAUACCCUGGUAGUCCACGCCGUAAACGGUGGGUACUAGGUGUGGGUUCCUUCCUUGGGAUCCGUGCCGUAGCUAACGCAUUAAGUACCCCGCCUGGGGAGUACGGCCGCAAGGCUAAAACUCAAAGGAAUUGACGGGGGCCCGCACAAGCGGCGGAGCAUGUGGAUUAAUUCGAUGCAACGCGAAGAACCUUACCUGGGUUUGACAUGCACAGGACGCCGGCAGAGAUGUCGGUUCCCUUGUGGCCUGUGUGCAGGUGGUGCAUGGCUGUCGUCAGCUCGUGUCGUGAGAUGUUGGGUUAAGUCCCGCAACGAGCGCAACCCUUGUCCUAUGUUGCCAGCGGGUUAUGCCGGGGACUCGUAGGAGACUGCCCGGGGUCAACUCGGAGGAAGGUGGGGAUGACGUCAAGUCAUCAUGCCCCUUAUGUCCAGGGCUUCACACAUGCUACAAUGGCCGGUACAAAGGGCUGCGAUGCCGUGAGGUGGAGCGAAUCCUUUCAAAGCCGGUCUCAGUUCGGAUCGGGGUCUGCAACUCGACCCCGUGAAGUCGGAGUCGCUAGUAAUCGCAGAUCAGCAACGCUGCGGUGAAUACGUUCCCGGGCCUUGUACACACCGCCCGUCACGUCAUGAAAGUCGGUAACACCCGAAGCC
rnacentral:rRNA from 1 species